rnacentral:rRNA from 1 species
GGUGCUUUUGAACCACUACGAGAGUAUCCUAGUGGCGAAAGGGUGAGUAACGCGUUGGUGACCUGCCCCAAAGUGUGGGAUAACAGUCCGAAAGGAUUGCUAAUACCGCAUGUGGUCUCUGGAUUUACAAACCGGUGACUAAAGCAGCAAUGCACUUUGGGAGGGACCUGCGUCCCAUCAGCUAGUUGGUGAGGUAACGGCUCACCAAGGCGAUGACGGGUAGGGGACCUGAGAGGGUGGCCCCCCACAACGGAACUGAAACACGGUCCAUACACCUACGGGUGGCAGCAGUAGGGAAUAUUGCUCAAUGGGCGAAAGCCUGAAGCAGCAACGCCGCGUGCGCGAUGAAGGUCUUCGGAUCGUAGAGCGCUUUUCUGCGAGAUGAGAAAGGACAGUAUCGUAGGAAUAAGUCGCGGCUAACUACGUGCCAGCAGCCGCGGUAACACGUGGGAGGCGAGCGUUAUCCGGAUUCACUGGGCGUAAAGCGCGCGCAGGUGGUUUGGUAAGUUGGGCGAGAAAGCUCCUGGCUCAACUGGGAGAGGUCGUUCAAUACUACCGAACUAGAGAUUAGAAGAGGAAGAUGGAAUUCCCGGUGUAGUGGUGAAAUGGGUAGAUAUCUGGAGGAACACCAGUGGCGAAGGCGAUUUUCUGGUCUAUUUUUGACACUCAUACGCGACAGCUAGGGUAGUAAACGGGAUUAGAGACCCCGGUAAUCAUAGCUGUAAACGACUUGAACUUGGCGUCGGUGGUUUAAACACUAUCGGUGCCGAAGCAAACGCGAUAAGUUCACCGCCUGG